UACGGGGGGGGUAAGCGUUGUUCGGAAUUACUGGGCGUAAAGGGCUCGUAGGCGGCCAACUAAGUCAGACGUGAAAUCCCUCAGCUUAACUGGGGAACUGCGUCUGAUACUGGAUGGCUUGGAUUCGGGAGAGGAAUGCGGAAUUCCACGUGUAGCAGUGAAAUGCGCAGAUAUCAGGAGGAACACCGGUGGCGAAGGCGGAUCUCUGGGCCUUACCUGACGCUGAGGCGCGAAAGCUAGGGGAGCAAACAGG
rnacentral:rRNA from 1 species